GUUAUUGUUUAUCUUUAUGAUCUUAUCUCUCCACUUUAUAUAAUUUCCUAUAGUAUAUAUAGAUAUAUUAAACUGAAUAUGUAUUUUCAUACAUAAUUGGUUGGUACCAUAGCCAAACCAACCAAUAAAAUUUUACUUAAUUGUUUUAUCUGAAUUCAGUAUGUAAUGGAAGUACACUAGAAUUUAAUGAUAAGUUAUUUUUUUACGUUUAUUGAUUGAUCAAAGGAUCGAGGGAACUUCCAGAAUCAAUCAAAACUCGAGUGACCUCGCAGGUGCUGAUUGUGAGUUCCACCAUUAGGGGAUUGUUAUGCAUCGUAUCGAUGUCGGUGGUGUACACUUCCGAGAAUGCGGUUGGAAGCAAUCCUCUGGAUUGGUAGACUACUUUUUUUGUUUUUGUUGUUUCCUUUCCUGGUACUCCUUUACCAACCUCACUGAUUCUUUGCACAUGAUCCUCCAAAAAUCAAAUUUAUACGGUCGCUUGUGCCGAGAUGAGUAAGAGAAUUGUUCUGAUCAUUCAUGCCUAGUUUUUGGCGAAUAUCAGAAUUGUCGGGUUGGCUGACUGAUGCGUCCCAGUUGUUCGUGUUGAGUUUUAUGCGAACCUCGGUAGUGUUAGCCAUGCUGCUAUGUCUUUGCCAAUUUUCUUUUGAGUUUAUCAUGCAGAUUUUGGGUUUAUGAACUCUCUUCUGAUGACGAGGAUGAUGAUUACAUUGAUACGCCGAGUGAUCUGUGAUCUUUAUUCGUCCAAAGCCCGGUCAUCACGCUGCUGAGGUGGAGCGGAUACUUCUUGAUCUUUGGGUUGAUCCACUUGGGACGGCCUUGAGACUUAUGGCAAUUUUUAUUUCUGCUUUUGUUCAAGCUUUUCGUAUUUUUGACAAGCUUUUGUUACGGUUGGGGAUUAAUAUUUCUUUGUUGAACACCGUCAUGAGUGUGUCAUGGAGUAACCUUGAUUGUUUGGUAUCAUGUAUUUUUUCCUUAUGAAAAUUGUAGAACUUAGUUUUAUCA